CUCCUCAUUUCUAACCAAUAAGACUGAGCUUGUUCCUUAAAUAAGCUCCUUAAAUUUGAGAUACAGGUCUUAGAAGACUGGACAUUUGAUUCUUUUUCUUUAUUUCGAUAUGACCUAGAAACAAAAUUGCACAUAAUAAGAACUAAAUUUUCUUUUAACUGCUUAUACCCUCAGGGGAUCUACAAUACUCUCCAGGUCCCAACAGUCAUAGAACUCAGCUACCAACUGUCAUUCCUAUGCUACAGUGGAUCCUGUCUCGAUAUCAAGGAGGCUGACUGCCAGUUCUCCAGAGCUACAGAUAUCGAAUCUACCUUGGCAAUAUAAAUUUCAAUACCAUCACCUGGAUAAACUGAGACCUAAGGAAGACUAAAAGAAGUCCCAGGAGCUUCCGAGACCAGAUAUCAAGUGUACUGUGGCUGUCUUUGCAAAGAACUGCAAGAUUCCUAACCCUGGAGAAAAAUAAUAGCAGGACUUUGGAUACAAAUUUUUUUCUAACCAAAGAAAAAGUUUCAAGUGUAUAUGAACCUCUGGGAAACUCAAUCUGGGCAGUUUUGAAUAGACAGUUUGUUUCUUUGAUCCAAAAGGAAAGAGAGAGGAGAUAUCUCACUAGAAGUACCACAUACAUAGGAGCACAAGAGCCAAGAGAUACUGAACUCACAAUUCAUGAUAGUCGAGAGAUGGAUACAGGAACUAGAAAGGUAAGAAGCCUUAGUACGACUUCUUUUGAGUAAUCACCAGAGCUCUACAUUGCUGCUGCUGCCUUCUACUCCUGCCACCAAGAGAAACAUUUCUGGAGUAUGCUGACCUGUUCAUUUGAAAAAACUGAUACAAAUGAUGAUUUAAAAAUAUAUAUAUAUUCCAAUUCCUUUUUCCCCCCUCCAUGUCCUAGAGGGCUAAUAUUAAGUCUCAAAUCCCCCCCUUUAAAAUUUGUUUAUAUUUCUGUUUAAUUAACAUGGCAUGCCAACUUAAGAUAAAGUUUUGGUCAGUUUUAACAGCUGAUUUGUGUGCUUUAUUAUAAAAAGCCAGAGAGAAGAUCAGAAACAGAGGAAGAGAAAAUGGACCCUCUCUAUUGGAAUUGUCAGGCUAAGAUUGUGAAGGACUCAAAAAAUCCACAAUGAGAGAGAAUCUUAGUGACUUAUAUUUUAUAAACUUCCCAUAGCAAGAUUAAAAUAGUAACAACAAUGGGGAUGAAUCAGAUUCCUCUUUUCUUCUAAGUAGGAUGCCAGAUUAAUUAGACAGUUGCUCUCUGACAAGAAUUGCACUGCCCUGGGGGCCAUGUUACUUUU
rnacentral:lncRNA from 1 species